UACGGAAGGCAGCAGUGGGGAAUAUUGCACAAUGGGCGAAAGCCUGAUGCAGCUAUGCCGCGUGUAUGAAGAAGGCCUUAGGGUUGUAAAGUACUUUCAUCGGGGAGGAAAAAACAAAACUAAUAAUUUUAUUUCUUGACGUUACCCGAAAAAGAAGCACCGGCUAACUCCGUGCCAGCAGCCGCGGUAAUACGGAGGGUGCUAGCGUUAAUCAGAAUUACUGGGCGUAAAGAGCACGUAGGUGGUUUUUUUAAGUCAGAUGUGAAAUCCCUGGGCUUAACCUAGGAACUGCAUUUUGAAACUGAAAUACUAGAGUAUCGUAGAGGGAGGUAGAAUUCUAGGUGUAGCGGUGAAAUGCGUAGAUAUCUGGAGGAAUACCUGUGGCGAAAGCGGCCUCCUAAACGAAUACUGACACUGAGGUGCGAAAGCGUUGGGGAGCAAACAGGGAUUAGAUACCCGU
rnacentral:rRNA from 1 species